CGCCGCGUGAGCGAUGAAGCCCUUCGGGGUGUAAAACGCUCUUUCGACGGGAACGAUAAUGACGGUACCCGAAGAAGAAAGCUGCGGCUAACUACGUGC
rnacentral:rRNA from 1 species